UACGUAGGGUGCGAGCGUUGCCCGGAUUUAUUGGGCGUAAAGGGCGCGUAGGCGGCCAUGCGUGUCUUCCGUGAAAUCCCUCGGCUUAACUGAGGACGUGCGGAAGAAACUGCAAGGCUUGAGUCCGGGAGAGGGGGGUGGAAUUCCCAGUGUAGCGGUGAAAUGCGUAGAUAUUGGGAGGAACACCGGUGGCGAAGGCGGCCCCCUGGACCGGUACUGACGCUGAGGCGCGAAAGCGUGGGUAGCAAACGGG
rnacentral:rRNA from 1 species